rnacentral:rRNA from 1 species
UUCCGAAUCGCAUGGCCUUGCGCCGGCGAUGGUUCAUUCAAAUUACUGCCCUAUCAACUUUCGAUGGCAGGGUCUUGGCCUGACAUGGUUACAACGGGUAACGGAGGGUUAGGGCUCGACCCCGGAAAAGGAGCCUGAAAAACGGCUACUACAUCCAAGGAAGGCAGCAGGCGCCCAAAUUACCCAAUCCCGAUUCGGGGAGGUAGUGACAAUAAAUACUGAUACAGGGCUCUUUUGGGUCUUGUAAUUGGAAUGAGUACAAUUUAAAUCCCUUAACGAGGAACAAUUGGAGGGCAAGUCUGGUGCCAGCAACC